GGUGCGAGCGUUGUCCGGAUUUAUUGGGCGUAAAGGGCUCGUAGGUGGUUGAUCGCGUCGGAAGUGUAAUCUUGGGGCUUAACCCUGAGCGUGCUUUCGAUACGGGUUGACUUGAGGAAGGUAGGGGAGAAUGGAAUUCCUGGUGGAGCGGUGGAAUGCGCAGAUAUCAGGAGGAACACCAGUGGCGAAGGCGGUUCUCUGGGCCUUUCCUGACGCUGAGGAGCGAAAGCGUGGGGAGCGAACAGGCUUAGAUACCCUGGUAGUCCACGCUGUAAACGGUGGGUACUAGGUGUGGGGUCCAUUCCACGGGUUCCGUGCCGUAGCUAACGCUUUAAGUACCCCGCCUGGGGAGUACGGCCGCAAGGCUAAAACUCAAAGGAAUUGACGGGGCCCCGCACAAGCGGCGGAGCAUGCGGAUUAAUUCGAUGCAACGCGUAGAACCUUACCUGGGUUKGACAUGGAUCGGGAGUGCUCAGAGAUGGGUGUSCCUCUUUUGGGGUCGGUUCACAGGUGGUGCAUGGUUGUCGUCAGCUCGUGUCGUGAGAUGUUGGGUUAAGUCCCGCAACGAGCGUAACCCUUGUCUUAUGUUGCCAGCACGUUGUGGUGGGGACUCGUGAGAGACUGCCGGGGUGAACUCGGAGGAAGGUGGGGAUGACGUCAAAUCAUCAUGCCCCUUAUGUCCAGGGCUUCACACAUGCUACAAUGGCCGGUACAGUAGGUUGCGAGACCGUGAGGUGGAGCUAAUCCUUUAAAGCUGGUCGUAGUUCGGACUGGGGUCUGCAACUCGACCCCAUGAAGUCGGAGUCGCUAGUAAUCGCAGA
rnacentral:rRNA from 1 species